rnacentral:misc_RNA from 1 species
GUAGGUGAACCUGCGGAAGGAUCAUUAUUGAAGUAAACCUGAUAGAUUGUUGCUGGUUCUUUAAUGAACAUGUGCACAUCUGUCAUCUUUAUAUCUCCACCUGUGCACCUUUUGUAGACCUGGACAAGUUUCUUAAUCCUAGUAUUAAGGUUUUGGGAUUGACUUUAUUGACUUUCCUUAUAUUUCUGGGUCUAUGUUUAUUCAAAUACCCUAAUGUAUGUUAUAGAAUGUAAUAAGUGGGCCUUUGUGC